UCCAGAGCCCUUGAUGUCAUGCAAGUGAAGAAGUAUGUCCUCAACUAUCUUGCAGCAGUAACUGACUUAUUGCACCAACCUUGACUUCCAAAUGGAACAGUACAUCUACAAAAAGGAAGAGUGAUGGCUUCUACAUCACAAAUCUGAAGAGGACCUGGGAGAAGCAUCUGCUGGCAUCUCAUGCUAUUGUUGCCAUUGAAUACCCUGCCAAUGUCAAUGUCAUAUCAUAUAGGAAUGUUGGCCAGCAGGCUGUGCUGAAGUUGCUGCUGCCACUGGAGUCACUCCUAUUGCUGGCCACUUCACUCCUGGAAACUUCACUAGCCAGAUCUAGGCAGCCUUCCAAGAACUGCAUCUUCUGGUGGUUACUGGCCCCAGGGCUGACCACCAGCUGCUGACAGAGUCGUCUUAUGUUAACCUGCCUACCAACCAUUGCUCUGUGUGACACAGAUUCUCCUCUGCACUGUGUGGACAUUGCAAUCCCAUGCAACAACAAGGGCUCUCACUCAGUGGGUCUGAUGUGGUGGAGACUGACCCAGGAAGGUCUACACAUGAGUGUCACCAUCUCCCAUAAGCACUCAUGGGAGAAGGUCAUGCCCGAUAUUUACUUCUACAGAGAUCCUGAGCAGAUUGAAAAGGAAGAGGCAGGCUGCUGCUGAAAAAGCUGCGGCCAAGGAUGAAUUUCAGGGAGAAUGGACUGCUGCACCUCAUGAGUGCACCGCUACUCAGGCUGACUAGUCUAAAGACGUGCAGGUGCCCUCUGUGCCUAUUCAGCAGGUCCCUACUAAGACUGAAGCAUUCAGCCUGCCACAGAAGACUGGUCUGCAGCUCUCACUGCUCCGGCUGCUGAAUGGGUAGGAACAACCACUGAGUGUUCCUAA
rnacentral:lncRNA from 1 species